ACGGGGUGCAGCAGGCGCGAAACCUUUACAAUGCUGGCAACAGCGAUAGGGGGACCUCGAGUGCCACCGUACAACGGUGGCUGUCGUUGUGUCUAAAAAACACGAUAUAGCAAGGGCCGGGCAAGACCGGUGCCAGCCGCCGCGGUAACACCGGCGGCUCGAGUGGUAACCGUUAUUAUUGGGUUUAAAGGGUCUGUAGCCGGCCGGAUAAGUCUCUUGGGAAAUCUGGCAGCUCAACUGUCAGGCUUUCAGGAGAUACUGUUCGGCUCGAGACCGGGGGAGGUGAGAGGUACUUCAGGGGUAGGGGUGAAAUCUUGUAAUCCUUGAAGGACCACCAGUGGCGAAGGCGUCUCACCAGAACGGAUCUGACUGUAAGGGACGAAAGCUAGGGGCACGAACCGGAUUAGAUACCCGGGUAGUCUUAGCCGUAAACAAUACUCGCUAGGUGUCGGCCACGGUGCGACCGUGGUCGGUGCCGUAGGGAAACCGUGAAGCGAGCCACCUGGGAAGUACGGCCGC
rnacentral:rRNA from 1 species